ACAUGCUUGGAGUGCAAUACGUUGCAGUUCUUGUUCGUGGCUAUACAUAUCUAGCAAAUGAGAGACUAGUUAGACCAUAUGAAAAAUUCCAAACAGUAAAGGAUGCUUUUGGUUCUGUUAUUGCUUGGCCUCGCUCACAUGUAAAAGUAGUUAAGCCAACCACUCCAGCACAACCACAAAGCAUUGGGUGAUGAUGACUUGAAAAGGGAGUGCAUUAAAGGAGCUAGGAGUAGU